rnacentral:tRNA from 5 species
GCCCGUAUAGCUCAGUGGUAGAGCGCAUCACUCGUAAUGAUGAGGUCCUUAGUUCGAUCCUGGGUGCGGGCA